GAUGAACGCUGGCGGCGUGCCUAAUACAUGCAAGUCGAGCGAACAGACGAGGAGCUUGCUCCUCUGACGUUAGCGGCGGACGGGUGAGUAACACGUGGAUAACCUACCUAUAAGACUGGGAUAACUUCGGGAAACCGGAGCUAAUACCGGAUAAUAUAUUGAACCGCAUGGUUCAAUAGUGAAAGACGGUUUUGCUGUCACUUAUAGAUGGAUCCGCGCCGCAUUAGCUAGUUGGUAAGGUAACGGCUUACCAAGGCAACGAUGCGUAGCCGACCUGAGAGGGGGACCGGCCACACUGGAACUGAGACACGGUCCAGACUCCUACGGGAGGCAGCGGUAGGGAAUCUUCCGCAAUGGGCGAAAGCCUGACGGAGCAACGCCGCGGGAGGGAUGAAGGUCUUCGGAUCGUAAAACUCUGUUAUUAGGGAAGAACAAAUGUGUAAGUAACUAUGCACGUCUUGACGGUACCUAAUCAGAAAGCCACGGCUAACUACGUG
rnacentral:rRNA from 1 species